CCCCCCCCUCCAAAAAAAAACAAACCUUGAUGCUUAUAGCAUGAAGGGAAACACUUUACAGGAGUAGAAUAGACAGUUCCACCAUUUAGACACCUAAAAUAUUAAGCGAUUUGUUAACUAGACACAUACAUACAUCUAUUUCAGUAACCUCCCAAAAUCUAGAUUAGGGAGGCAUUAUGGACACAUCAAGGACUUCAUAUACAAGUACCUGUUUCAGUCCUAGUUAUUCUCAGUGAAUUUGUCGAGUAAACCAGAAAAGCAGUACUAUGAAACACUGCACUAACAGCACUUGGCAAAGC